rnacentral:lncRNA from 1 species
AUGCACUCAGGAGUAGCAAGAUGGGUAUUGGUAACAGCCGGCUGCUUUUUGUACAUAUGCUUAAAAAAAUACUUCAGUCUCGUGGAGCAAAGGAUGCUGAAGGUGCCAGGUGGCUGCCUGAAAGAUUGGUCCGUUUUGCAGGAAAUUUUCCUGCCCCUUGGGAUGAUCCCGACAACUGUCCUGCUGAUAAAUCUAAUGGUGACGCUUAAUGAGAAGGUUUAUUGGACUUAUGUACCUGAUCCACCUGUUGUACAUCCAACGAGCUGAAAAAAUGGACAAGUAAUGGUAUGGGUGAACAAUACCAGGCUGUUGCAUGAGCCGGCGGCCCCUGACAAGAACAAGUUCCGAUUGUUCAACUAUACGGGAUCAGAAAUCGGAACCCCCCAUAUGUUUCUUCAAAAUCAACAGACUGAGUGCUCGCACCCUGACAGGAAGGCAGGUAGAUCAGUGCAAAGGCGGGAUCACUGGAGUCCAUCUACAUCUACCUGUGGGUAUGGAGACCACUGGUGUAGUGCCUCAGACUUUUAAUGCUCCAAUAAGACUAUUCCAUGGAAGAGAUGUGUGGCGGAUGCCUCCGUGAGAUAUAAUAUUACUGGACUUGAUACUUAUGUUUUGGACUGGUCUGAAAAUUCUUGUCAUCCCAAAAGAAAUGUCAUUGCAUGUGUCAUGUGCUCUUAUGUAUUGCUUGUAAGAAAUAUUAGUGUUCAGAAAAGUUAUGAUUAUUAUAGUGAAAUUUACUUCAAUUGUCAAAUAAGCAAUUGUGUCACCCGAACAGAAAAUCAGAUAAUGGUUUUGCGAAUGCGUUUUUAGAUUUGGAUCUUAUAGAUCUCCAAAAUGCAGAACCCCUAAAAUUUGAUGCAGCCCAGGCUGCACAGGAUUUUAUCGAACAAAUUAGAAAAGUUCUGCCAUCUACAUCUGCAUUUAUGCGGUAACUCAUUUCCAUAGUAAUUAUUGGAGGAGGGCUGCCUCUCAGAUGCAUGAUCCUUCCGGCGCUACUGCAGAUGUUUGUGCAUUCUUUAAUGAGGAUGGCUGGAAGUAUUCAUGGUCUAUAAUUACAUGCUACACCGUCUAAACCCAUGGUAUAAUUCCCUGCAGAGGCUGGUAGUCAAUGACGGGUAAGAGGAGUAUAGGAAAUCACCAACCUAAGACAAAGCAAGAGUACUGUGAUGCUCUUGACUCCAUGACAGGUAAGGGAUUUCUUUAUAUUCCUCGCCUAAGACAGGCACAGUCUAUCUGCGUGAUCAAGGGACCUUGAUCAUAAUAUAUAAAACAGGGGGAGAUGUGGAGAGCGGUGUGUGGAGAGCAGUGUUAGCCAAAGAGGCUCCAUUUUGAAUCUUACCCUCCAUUGUAUAGAGCAAGGAGACUAUGUUAUGAGGAACCGCGUCCUUGCCGAAUUAGAUUGCCCUGGAACGUGAUGAAUGUUCUGUAACACCGAGAAACAAGGAAGCCCAUGAGGGUAGGGAAUUCCCAAAGAACUAGAAAACAAGGAAGCAGGUGUCUCUGGAUAAGGGUCAUGAUUAACAACCAAACUCACCUGCUGUAUAAAAGAGAGGAGAAAAAUAAACUUGGGCGCUCGGUCUCUGGGAGCCCUCCCGACUCUCUUUGUCUUUAUUUUUCUUCAUCCUCACCCCCCGAUUCAGGUACUGUUCGACAAGUGAUGGCAGGCUCCAUCAGAAAACCCUGCACCUGGGACCAAUGAGAAAGUGCUGUCUUCAAUUCUUCUGGCAUGAAAUCAAGGAGUUUUGUUGUUUUUUUUUUUUUGGUACCAGAGAUAGAACUUGAGACCUUGCACUUGCAAGGCAGGCAGCAUAACCACUGAGCUAAAUCCCUGGCCCUCAAGCAGAUUUUGGAUAGGAUAGCCUAGAUCUGGCAUCAGCUUAAACAAUUAGGGGAUAUGAAAGACAUCUUCCAUUAACCUACAGCCACUGUGAGCUUUCUCAGUGGUCCUCUCUUGCUCUACAGAGCACACUUCUUUUCCUACCUUUAAUAAAUGUAAAAUCCCUGGGCUAGGCAUGUAGCUCUGUAGUAAAGCACUUGCCUAGUAUGCAUGAGGCCCUGUGUUCAUUCCCCAGCCCUGCAAAUACAUCAAUAAAUGUAAAACCUUGCCACCUUUUACUCAGAUCUUGUCAAAGUAUUUGCUCAGGGCACCAUGAAUCUGAAAAGAAUCCCUGGUGUCUACAGAACCCCAGAAUCCAGUAACAAACUGAUAGGCAACUGGAAGAGAAUCUAAAGGCUUCAUAUCUGUCUUCAUAUUGUAUCCAUCUCCUUUGCUAUCCUAACCUUUGGGUCAGAUUCUACUCAGCUCUACAUGUAGACUUGUUGAUCAACUGAGAAAUGUUCUGUCCAGAACUAUAACACCUAGAUUUGCCUCAUCUCUCUUCCCUGCUUCAGGGCUAAAGACAGCUACCAGAUGCUAAGACCAGAAACACCAGAACAUAAAGGAGGGCAAUUAGGUGGUACCAGAGUUUCUGGGAGAUCUAUCCUCAAAAAAUAAGAAAAAGAAUAUUCAUUUCCUUUAUUAGCCUAGCUCCUUCCAACAGUAUUCCUAUCCU